UAACAUUUCUCAUCAAAGAGUGUUCUAUAGGGAAGAGAUAAAACCUAAACAGUCCCGGAAGCUGAGACAAGAAACUGAAAAAAAAAGGAAAGUGAGCAACAAGAUAAUGUAAGUCACAACUGAGCCAAUUAAGGAGCAGGAGAUGCAGCAGCAUGUCCCAAACAAAACUGAUUGGAGGUCAAGUGUGGACAACCAGAGCAAGUUCUUGCACAGCUAAUGUAUCCCCAGGUGUGAACUGAGUAACAUGAAGAAAGGCAUCCUCCUGCCACCUCCUGAAUCAGUAGAAAAAGACAAAAGCUUUUGAUGGGAUUAUGCUGGAGUCCAUGUCAUGGAACCAAACUGGAAAUUUUCUGGCAUGAUUUUAGGCGUUUUGCAUGAACUCUAAUUCAUUGAAAUGUAACAACCUUAUAAGAUUCAACUGGCUCAUGGUUUGUACCGGGGGAACCAAGCCCAUGGUUGGGAUCCAGGGGUCCCUCCAGUCUCCUGUUCCAUGGUCGCACACACCUUGAGGGCACCCACACGGUUUGAUCGUCUCCUUAUAUUGCUGCUGGCAGACUCGUGACGGGGUUUCUCAUUCAUCUGAAGAGAAAGUCAGAGAGAAUCAAAGCAUGUGAAGAGAGACCUCACGCAAGGAGGUCUAGGAGCCUAGAGUGAUCUUCAGCCAACAGUCAAAAAGAUAACUGGGACAACCACAAGGAACUGACUUCUAUAAGAGAAAUGAGCCUGGAAAAGGACUCCAAGCUUCAGAUGAAAAUGUAGUUGGCUGACACUUUGAUUUUAGUCUUGUGAAACCCUAAGCAGAGAAUCCAAGUAAGUCCCCCUGAACUUCUCACCUAAAGAACAAUGAGUUAAUAAAUAAGGGGUAUGAUAAGUCAUGAAAUAUGUGGUAAUUUAUUACAAAACAAUAUAUAAUGAUACAGAUACCUAUCUGGUAGCCAGAUAUUAUCCUAAGUAUUUUCCACAAGACAUUUAAUUUGAUUUAAUUAACACGCAACUCCAUAAGAGACAGAUCCUUUUAACUAUUUUGCAGGUGGUAAACUGAGGCUCAAGUAAUUUAUGUGAUUUGUCUAAGGUCCCAUAGGCUAUAAGUGUCAGAGCCCAGAUUGAGAAGUGUUUGGCUGUUCAUGCAAGUGCAAGCAGCUUUCAUUAAACUAUUCGCAGAAGUCUGUCAGAAUAGCUAGCAAGGAUACCAACUAUCUAGGGAAAGUCACACCAAAGGAGUGACCCAAAGAAACACAUUUUAACCUGAACUGCCUGGUAAUACACUGAAGGCAAAUCAGCCCCAAAGACUAAAAUUGUUAAUUUUCUGUGAUUCCUCGCUGUUUUAUUUAAUAUAAUAUGACCUUAACCUAGUCUUGAUAUUUGAUUUCUGAACAAUGAGUCAAGAGAGUUGCCUUCUCUAUGUAGUAGUACUUUACUGUUGUCAAAGACUUGUCCUUUGGUGCUUCAUAUUUUGCUUUACCUACAUGGAACAUUGCUAAUUUAGGUGAUAGCCUAACUAUUUAUAGUUAAAUACACCCACCAAGUUCCCUUUACCCUUCAAAUUAACUAAAAAGAAACAACUUCCUACUUCUUACACCACAUAAAAUUCAUAUUUUGCUUUAAAUGUAAUUUUUCAGCAAAGAGCCUAGUGGAGUUCACUUAAAACUAACCAAAUCAGCUGUUAAAAUUGUCCAUUUGAUCACAUGGGUUAUAGGCAUAGUUAUUUGACUGAGUUAUGACAAUGCUCAGAAACAGAAAAGACAGUCAAAGGUUAUCAUGUAAGUUCAAUAAAAAUUCAACAGUUGUUUUUAAAGAUUUUCAUAUGAUAAUAUUGUUUCACUUUCUAUUACCCAUAUUUGAUUUCAUUUACAAAUAAAAUACUACCCACUCUAUGAAUCAUGCUUUUAUCUCAAAUAUAUCUAGAGUGAAUCUCUAUGAUUUUUAGAAUACAGAAAUAUACAUUUUAAAAAGAUUUUAACAUUUAUUGUAAAUAAUUUAAGACAACUUUUAGAUAUAUCACGUGAGUGUUUAACUCAAUUUUCAUGACCCAGCUGGCCCAAAUUAGUCUUUUUUAUAAAUUGUUUUUUGAGUUGAAAUUAUUCUUUCACACCUAAAGAACUCUAUCUGAUGCUCUAGAGAGAAAUAUUCAAUUGAACUUCACAAUGUAGAACAUUUCCUGCAUUCUCCAUUGUAGACUGUGAUGAAUAAAUCAAUAUGUGCUUACUAAAAACAAAUGAUACAAUUUAAGGAAAUAUAUUAUUUUGAGUCCUGAUUCAAAGAAAAUAACCAAAUAUUUAAAAUUUAUUUAAAAUUUGUACUGUUUAUUUAUAUAAUUAUAACAUCUUCAAAAUCAAUAAUGAUUUUCUUCAUUUAGUAUUUAAACAUAACUAUUUUCUCAUAGUACUAGAGUCGCCAUAAGCAUCACUCUAUGGCUAUAUAAUUUCUGACAUGUGCUUUUAUUGGAAUUCAUUAAUAAUUUCAUUAUUUUUAGGUAUUUAGAUCAUGGCCCACUUUCCCCUACAACCACGAUACCUGUUUAAAUUGACAAAUCAUAGUUGUAUGGAUUUACGGGGCAAAAUGUGAUGUUUUGAUAUACGUAUAUGAUACAGUUUGAUUAAAUCAAGCUGCUUUAACAUAUCCAUCAUCCUGCUUACCUAUCAUUUUUAAUAAUGAGAUAUUUGAAAUGUAUUCUCUUAGUUAUUUUCAAAUACAUAAUACAUUAUUAUUGACUGUAGUCAUCCUGGUGUGCAAUGAAUCUCAAGAUGAAUAUUUCCAUGAACAUUAAAAAAAAUUCUUCCAUUUUGAAAU
rnacentral:lncRNA from 1 species